rnacentral:rRNA from 1 species
CAGCCGCCGCGGGAAUACGUAGGGUGCAAGCGUUAAUCGGAAUUACUGGGCGUAAAGCGUGCGCAGGCGGUUUGUUAAGACAGAUGUGAAAUCCCCGGGCUUAACCUGGGAACUGCAUUUGUGACUGGCAAGCUAGAGUAUGGCAGAGGGGGGUGGAAUUCCGCGUGUAGCAGUGAAAUGCGUAGAUAUGCGGAGGAACACCGAUGGCGAAGGCAGCCCCCUGGGCCAAUACUGACGCUCAUGCACGAAAGCGUGGGGAGCAAACAGGAUUAGAUACCCCAGUAGUCCCUGUCUCUUAUAA